UACAGAGGUCUCAAGCGUUGUUCGGAUUCAUUGGGCGUAAAGGGUGCGUAGGCGGCGAGGUAAGUCGGAUGUGAAAUCUCAGGGCUCAACCCUGAAACUGCAUUCGAUACUGCCUUGCUCGAGGACUCGAGAGGAGAUUGGAAUUCACGGUGUAGCAGUGAAAUGCGUAGAUAUCGUGAGGAAGACCAGUGGCGAAGGCGGAUCUCUGGAGAGUACCUGACGCUGAGGCACGAAGGCCAGGGGAGCAAACGGG
rnacentral:rRNA from 1 species